UGCUGUGAACAAGGAGGUUCUUUCAAAAGUAAUCAGCUGAGCUGGAAGAAGAAGAAAAGACACUUCAUUACAAGGCAGAGCCAUGAACAAAGCAACAUCACAGGCCUUUCCACCUGAUGUCAACUGAUUAAUGCUCCCCUUUAAAGUGAAUGACAGCUGAAGGAUUUGCAUAAUUCAGUACAAUGGAAAGCUACUGAGAGUUCAAACCAAACAUCUGUGAAACCAGAGAGUGACAUUUUUUACAAGGUAUUUGCAGGGCAUAUGAAAAAACCUUCUGGAAAAGAAACUGCCUGGAUAAGACCAGAACAUCAUCCUUGG
rnacentral:lncRNA from 1 species